UUAAACUUAAAUAUGGAAACGUUACAUCAUGAAAUAAAAAUCACUAAAGGAUUAUUAGCUGCAGAAGUUAAAGAGACACAUAAUUUUGAAAAUAUCCUUAAUAUUAUGUAUAAAAAAAUAUCAUCAUGCAUUUAAAGAAUUGUAUAAAUUCUACUCAACACAUCAUCUUUAGGGUACCAACGGUUUCUUGUGUGGUCUCUUUCUCUACAAUAAAGAGAGUUCUAUCUAGCACUGGAGGGUCGAUGAAAGAUCCACGCCCCCUCAUAUAAGUAGCUGGUCCCCCUAGCUGAAAAUUCCUGGCUACGGCCCUGUUAGACCGAAAAUGGACAGAUUUAAAUGAUAAAUGGGUUCCAUGUCUAUUCGGCGAAACACUUUUUAGCGAAACUUUAUCGCGAAACAUAAAUCACGAAGACAAUAUAGCGAAAACUAUUUAGCGAAAUAUAACGCGGCC